rnacentral:lncRNA from 1 species
UGUAAGAGGAGAGCCUCGUUCUUCAUGAUUCACUGCUGCCAAAACCCAAAAUCAACUAACAGAAAAAAAAGAAUGGAAUUGAUUUAAAUCAGCUUAAAAAUGAUUCCCUAGCCCACAUGAAAUUCACCCCUUACACUUACCAAAUCACAUAAGAAAAAACAUCGAAGAGCUAAUAUAUCGAGAUUGAAUGGCAAGAUUGUGACAGAAUUUCAAAAAAAAAAUAAAACAGAGGAUUUUUCCAGUUAAUAGAAAAAAAGGUCAAAUUUUAGAAAUUUUGGAGGAGAGAAAAAAAGAAUAAUAAAAAAUAUAAUAUAAUAUGAAAACAUAUCCCCAAAUUUCCUCCCCCUAACCCACAAACUCUCAACUAUCUCAGAAUUUCAGUUCCACCCAACCUCUAACAAACACUCGAAGCAAAAAUUGUCAAC